AAUCCACUCCAACAAUCAGAAUGGAUAGUUCUUGGUUUUAUAUACUUUCUGAUAAGAGAGAGCAGAGUUUUGGAGAAACACUUCCUUCUCCUUUAGAAAUAAAUAUGCAGCAUCCUGUAUGUCCGCGUUUGUGAUGGGUCUUUCACAACACUCCACCUCUCUUGCCGAGAGUUGUGGCAGGCCAUGCAGGUAGGCACUAAAGUCCACCCUGCAUUCUGAUCCACCAGUUGUCCUGAACAGUCAUGCAAAGUGUUGUUGAAAGGCCCUUGUUCAUCUGUCAGAGACUUUGUUGCUUCGUUGUGCCUCCACCUCUCAGGCAGCUCCAACUCCUUCGUUCCUCAGAGCACACAUCAUAGCUCUGACAACGCAUCCUUCAUGUUUAACAUUGAAGUGUUGGUCGAGGGCCAACCUUGCCACCAGUACGUUGGACAUGAUGCCAGUUCUAAGUGCCCCUUCUAAUUUCUUAACUCAGCCUCCCUCUAUUCUAUUUCGGUCUAAUACUAGAGCCUUACUAUACCUAACCAAUUCUGCUUUAAUUGCUUUCUUUAGGGCAUACCACCACCUAUUGUUGAUGGUGCCCGUCAAUGCUCUCUUUACUAAUGUGCUAAUCCAGUCCCUGUAAGCCUGGCGUGCCGUGAACGACGUGUUCAGCUUCCAGUAACCGGGACCCUGCCUGUGGCUCUUAUCUAAGUCAAGCAUACAAGUCACAAAUUUGUGAUCUGUGUAGCUGACUAUAUGGGAUAUCCCUAUCCACUGUCCUACAGAAUACUCUAUCUAAACACAAUCUGGACGACCCGAUGAGGUUGCUCCAUGUCCACAUUGGUACAUUUGGGUGGUCCAGUUGGAAACGUCUGGGCAAAUCUUUGAGGCAUUUACAUCCCCUUCUAUUACUAUCUCUGCCCAUGUAGUCUAGAUGCGUGUCCAAGGUAGCAUUCCAAUCCCUCACUAAAAGUAAAGAUUGAGACUUUCCCAGGAAAACCUCUAGGCGUCAAAAGAAACCCGGUUGACCUGUUAAGGACGGUACAUAAGUUAUCAGUCGAAAAGCAUACCCAUUACUGCCAUCAACAUCCAUGACGACCAGCCUACCCUCAGGUUCUAGGAAUAUUGCUCUUAUUUUGAGGUCCAGAUUCUUCCGAAGAAGCACUGCAGUACCGGAGUCUGGUCCCACUGAUGGCUAUGAUAUGCAUGUUCUGUGACUUGAUGUCAUUUAACAGGUAGCCUUGUUUCCAAGGCGACCCCAAGCCACGUACAUUUAUACAACUUAUUCUGAGCAUGUUCCUAUCGAAAGUUGUGUUGGUGACAGUGGGGAUGUGGUGUUUGGGUUUUUUGUGGUGGGUAAUGAGUCUUUUCGUUUUUCAGUUCUUCCUUUGGAGUUGUUGCUGUUGGUGGUGGUGAUAGUGUUGUUUCUGUUCUUGGUGGUGUAGGCAACGUCAUUUCAACUCUCAUUACAAAGCGCUUAUUUCCCUUCAACCAGAUUUUGAAGCUUCAUUCAUCUCUUCAUUCUCUCCCUUCAUUAUAUUGUUUUGCUGACUGACUAAAUUGUACAUAUUAUACAUAAUCAAUAAAGUGUGUUAUUGUUCGGACGCUUUUCUUGUUCCUGAAUAAAUUGAUGUAAGGAAAUUGUGUAGCACUCACUCAGUGCAAGAAUACACAAGCCGAAAAUCCUACACUACUUUUAUUUGGUCAUCUGUUCUAAACCAGGACUCUGCUGGUCAGGUUGCUCUGGAUGCAGCUGCCUAUAAAACUUCUCUGCCUGGGUUCUGAUAAUGGCACCUGACAGUGGGGUGCUGCCAUUCUACUCCUGGACAAACCAGGUGAAAACUGCUUUCUCAAGUUAACUGUCAGUGGCAGUCCUGGCCUUCUUCCUAGCUAAGCCCUCGCUGUCCACAACUGUAUUUACAUAAUUUGUGAGGUUAGCCUCAUCCUUAACCCAACCAUGCAGGGUGGACUCUGGAAUGCCAGUCUCUCUUGAUAGUUUGACUUUGAAUCCAUCAUUUCGUAUACUGUCAACCAGAUCUAACUUUUCCAUUACAGAAUAGGAUUUCCUCUUAGGCAUUGUGUUUUCAUACGGCAAAUUUAAAAAAAAAAUAUCUGCAAGGUAGCUUGAAAUUGUAAUGAAUGAAGUGGAAUAUGGUCUCUCUUUAUAUAAAUUGUACCUCCAGGGUGUUAAUUACUUCCUUUAAGUAUUAAUCUGUUUGACUCAUUUGAAGCCUUUGAUUGGCAGAAGCUUCCUCAAACAAUCCAAUCAAAUCAUGGAAAACAAACUGUCAAAAGUGUUCACUGGUCAAAAAGGUGUUGUUUUCAUCACAAAAUCAAAGAAAUUAUGCACACAAAACAUGUAAUUAGCACCCAGUUAUAUGGCAAUAUUUUCAAGCUGUUCAUUAAGGUAUGUAUGUAUUUUGUUGAAAUUUGCUGAAAUUCUGCUUUUAAUCAAGGUUUUUGCUGAGGGAAAUUCUGCUUCAAAUUAUUAGGGGUCCAUCAAACCACCCAUGUUAUAUGCAGGGACGUGGUAUAGCGAGAUGCCUUAUAAAGAGGGAGCACUGUACUAACUUGAAAUUAGAUCAAAGGUUGAUUUAAGUGAAGGUUGGACAAGUCAUUAAAGUUACACCUGAAAAAGAGAGUGACCUAACAUGAAGAAAUUCUUGAUAAACAAGCUACUAAAAACUAACCUUCAUUAAUUAAUUGUUGAGGUGUUCAGCUUUUCCUCAUUAGUCUACACUGAAGACUAAUUAGUCAACUUUUCCUCAUCAGUCUACACUAAAGACUAAAUAGUUUUAUAUAUUAAAUUGAUUAAAUACUUAUAAAAUUACUGCUGCAUUAUUUUUAUUUGCAUGCAGCAAUAUAAGUCACCUUUGGAAGAGAAUGUUUUACAACUGAUAUCACAGUAAUAUGAUUCCUUUCCUGUCACAAUACAUUUGUGGUAAGAUUAAUCAACCAUUCACAAUGAAUGUUUUACAAUAUUACAGAAAUAAUUACUGUCAUUUAAUUGUGUAUCAUUGAUCAAUUGAAUGACACCUCUGCAGACAGCACGUUUAUUACAACUGGAGUGUUUUAUAGCAGACUUAUUUUAUUACAAAUUUCAUAGUUGCUCAAUUUCAGAAUAGUGCCAAGUAAUUUAUGUUAAAUGCUGCAGCUAGUUUGUAUGAAUCUUUUAAUAUAGACAUUAUUCUCUAUAUAUACUUGUGUAUAAGGAUAUAAAUCACUAUUUUCAGACUGGAUUUCACUAUAAACCUUUUUCACUCUCUUCUUUAUAGCAGGUUGUAAUGAAAGUUUUGUCCAUUUUUUAAGGCUUAAUAACCCCCCCCCCCCAAAAAAAAAGCAAUAUCUGAUUUUAUUUAAUCUUUAAUAUAGUCACCAUUCUUUAUGACUUCUUUCCAUUUGUCAAUGAGAAGUGAAAAAGGAAAUUAACCCAUUUUUGACUUCUGCUCUUGAAGUAAGUCUUCAUCCACUCAAAUGAUUUUGUAAACUUCUAAUCUGUAAGUACGAGGUCCAGAGAACAUGGUGGGCACUGCAUAAUUUUCCAAGCAUAUUCUUCUAGAUAUCUGGCACUCUUGUGCAGCGUGAUGUUUAGUGUUAUCAUGAUGACAGAUGACUCCUUUUCUGUUCGUUAAUGGACAUUUUUGCUACAAAGCUAUUUUCAGACAUCUUAGCUAUUGGCAGUAUACAUUGGCUGUUAUUGUAUGAUUAUUGUCUAGCAGCUUUUGAUGAAUUAUUCCAUGCAUAUCUUACCAUACACUCAGAAGAAUCUUCCUUGGAUGCUGGUCACUUCUGGGCUGCUGAGCUACCUUUUCACUACGACAGAGCUACUAACAUUUUUGCUUAACAUGGCAAGGUAUCCAUUCUUCAUUUCCUAUAAUGACUUUGUUCAAAAAAGGCAUUUGCAAUUCAUGAGAUUGCUGUGAUGCACAACAGUCAACACGUUUAUAAUUGUCUGCAGAGAGAUCAUGUGGAACCCAUUUUCCAACCUUUUACACUUUACCAAACCUUUUCAAUUCAGGAUGAAUGGUAGUACCUUUCCAUGUUCCUGUAUGGUGGAUCAAGGUGUAUUAAUUCUUUGGGACAAUUCUUUCAUACUUUGAUGUGGAUCCUCUUCAACUGCAGCUUUCAAGGUGCCAUCGUCCAGAACAAUAGGUCUUCCUGAUUAAUGCCCACCAGAAAGAUCAAAAUCACCUUAAAUUUUGAAAAUCUCUGACAUUUUCAACCGCUUACUCCAUCAGGAUAAACACUGCAUAUGUUUUUGUUGCAGUGUUGCCUUUAUGAAAUUCAUACAGCAUGCAAUGCUGAAUGUGACCUUAAAAUUUUUGUUCAUCCAUGGGUUAUCUGAAAUGGAGAAAAUGAAAUUAUGACUUUAAUCAAUCAGAGGAACAGCUCAGCUGAUGCCUAGACUGAAGAAAUAACUUUUUUGUUUUCACCAUGUUUAUUUUCUUAAACAUGCAACAUUACUUUCCAGAAUAAUAUACAUGUUACUUUGUAAUAUCUAAAAAAGGGAAAAUGUCUUUGAAAAUAUCUCAAUAAAUUUUUCAUUGGGAUGCUUUGAAAUAUUUCAGUUCCUUUUAAUUUCACCUAAAAAAAAAAAAAAUUUGAUUUUGUUUGGGAUUCUAAAUCAGCAAGAAUUGUUACCUUUAUCAAUUAUUGCUGUUAAUCCUGACAUGGGUUUGGAGGAUCUGUUAUACUUAAUUCUUCUAUGUGUCCCGACCAUGACAUUACUUGCUGUUUUCUCUUUAUUAAACACUGGCAAUUAGCAUGGCCAUAUUGCAAGUGUCAGGUGUAAAUAAAGAAUAAACAAGUUCCAGUCAUCAAUUUCUCUUUCAGACAACAUUGUCCAUCUUUGGAUUGGUGUCACAAGUUAUAUCACUUCGAUGUGUAGUCUAUGGUGGUGCCGUAUCGGGUUCCAUGAUGGCUUUCUUGAGCCGAUUGAUACUAACAGUAUUCUGUUUACCAUUUACAUCGACAACGAAGUAUUUCUCCCGUUUUUGCAGUACUUUGUAAGGGCCGGAAUACGGUGGGCAGAUUUGUGCUGGUAUUCCGUCAUUUCUAACAAACACGUGUGUCCAUUGAUUAAUGUCCGUGGGGACAUGUGUAUCAGUUUCCUGCGGGCGAGGUGGGUUUGGUGACAGCUGUGAUAUAUGUGCACGUAGGCGAUGCACAUAUGUUGUGGGAUCUGGGAUAUCCUGUAGAAUUACUGGAGCAAUCAUUUGUCCAGGCAGGGUUAAUGUGGUGCCGUAAACGAUUUUUGCCGGUGAGUAUCCGCUCUCAUCCUUGAUGGAUGUACGGAUACCAAGCAGGAUUAAUGGAAGGAAGUCUAUCCAAUUGUUUAUGUCAGAGUAUGCCCGUAUGGCUGAUUUCAGUUGCCUGUGGAAUCUCUCCACCAUGCUGUUUGCCGCCGGAUGGUAUGCUGUAGUGCGAAAGUGUUUGGAACCGAUGAGUCGAGUAAGCUCGCUGAAAAGGUGGCAGUCAAAUUGUCUUCCUCUGUCUGUCGUGAUGAUAGCAGGGAUACCAAAACACGAUACCCAGUGUGAUAUCAGCGCUUUAGCCACGGUUUCUGCUGUGGUAUCAGAGAGAGGGAAAGCUUUAGGCCAUCGUGAAAAGCGGUCGAUACAAGUGAGGAGAUGUGUAUAGUUGUGAGACGGAGGUAGAGGUCCAACGAUGUCUAUGUGGAUGUGUUGGAAACUACUGUCUGGUGCUGUAAAAUUACCAAAGGGUGACUUGACGUGUCUGUGUACUUUUGCCUAUUGACAUGCAAUGCAACUUUUAACCCAGUCGCAGAUGUCUUUAUUGAUGUUCGUCCACACAAAGCGAGUUGCUAUCAUCUUCUGUGUGGGACGAACGCCAGGAUGUGACAAACCGUGUAAGGCAGUGAAAAUUUUCCGUCUGUGUUGUUCGGGGACAUAUGGAUGCUUGUGUCCUGUGGAAACAUCACACCAUAUUUGACCAGUUGAAGAAGAUAGUGGGCAGAGUUGGAAUUUGAGGGACGAUGAAUUUCGUAACUUACUAAGUUCUUCGUCAAACUCUUGGUCCGUUGCGAUCUGCUGUAAGUCAAUUGGUUCGGAAGUAUGCAGUGCAUUAAGAUGGGCGCGGGACAAGGUGUAUGCGGCCGUGUUAUCGGAACCUUUAACAUACCGAAUGUCGGUUGAAUAUUGAGAGAUAAAAUCAAGGUGACAGAUUUCUCUCAAAGAAUGUUGGUCAUUCUUCGUUUUAAAAGCAUAAACCAGUAGUUUGUGAUCCGUGUAGAUGCUGAAGGCAGUCCCUUCAAGCAUAUGGCGAAAAUGUUUAACAGAAAGGUAUGCGGUGAGUAGUUCUCGUUCGAAAGUGCUGUAUUUAACUUCUGCGUGCUAAGGAUAGUGGUUGCCAAAUUCCAUCCACAAACUGUUGCAGGAUGCCGCCAAUUCCAGUCUGAGAGGCGUCGACCAGUAAUGUGAAUGGAGCAUCAGGUUUGGGAUGAACUAGCAUUGUAGCUGUAGCUAGCAUAUCCUUUAGCUUGUUGAAGGAGGCUAGUUGUGUGUCACAUAAUGUAAUUGCUUACUUCUUCUUUUUCGCCAGUCUGUUGCGCAGGACUUCGGUAAGCGGUUGAGCUGCUUCGGCGCAGUGUGGAAAGAAACAACGGUAGAAAUUCACCAGUCUCAAAAAUUCACAGAGUUUCCAAAGAGAUGUUGGGAUAGGAAAAUUCACUAUGGUUUCCACUUUGUCAGGCAGACGACGAAUUCCAUCUUUGUCAACGAUGUACCCGAGGAAAGGCAGAGAUGAGACACCGAAAAUGCAUUUACUUGUGUUAAUGUCUAUGCCAUAAUGAGUCAGUCGCUGGAAAAGUUGUUGGAGGUGAUCUUCGUGUUCGGCCUCAGAGACACUCGCUACUAGCAUAUCAUCGAUAUAUGCGUAGACGAAGGGUAAACCUCUUGUGACAGUGUCGAUGAAACGCUGAAAUGUUUGCGCUGCAUUACGUAAUCCAAACGGCAUUCGCAAGGAUAUGCACCAAAAGGAAUGGCAAUUGUGGUUUUGGGGACAUCGGCCGGUUCAACGGGUAUUUGAUUGUAGGCCCGAAUUAAAUCCUGACCUUUUCUGGAACUGAAACAAGAUGAAGUUCCGGUGCUUGCAGGGUUGUUUUAUUACUUGACUUUUGGCAUUUAUCAUAUCUGGAUAUGUAUUUGAUAAUGUCGUUACAUAUACCAUUCUAAAAAUAUGUUGCACUUAUUUUUGCUCUUCCAAGAUGUGCUCUUCGUAAAUCAUCAUGACAUGUUCUUAUAACCCUUUGUACUUCAUCUAUCUUAAAUACUUGAUGAUAAUUGAUUUUAUCUCCAUCAUUGUUUGUGCACUAAAAUACCAUCUUGUACGUGAAAUGGCUCACUCUUUUUCUAUACUUCUCUUUUUUCUUUUGAUAAUCUUUUUGGAUAGUUGCUUUCACUUGGUUACUGAUAGUAGAUUUUGUAAUAGUUUGAUAGUUGUCAUAGAGACUUUAGUCUCUAUCUAUCACCUUUUAACAACAUUAUGAAUGAAGAGACAUUAGAACAAUUAACAAUAUAAUAAAAAGGUUUUAUUUAUGACUAUGAUGCUUGGUUUCACAAUUCCUGUCAUUCUGCUUAGCCGCCGCUGAUUUAGAUGUAGUUUGGUAAUGGAAAGUUAAGGUCUUCCUUUAUGCCUGCCAGAGAAGUAAGUAGCUAUCACAUCGAUAGCAUCAUGGUGAAAAGUGCUUCGUGGAGGAGCGAGGUGUUGUCAUGUAGAAGGUCUGAGCUCAACUCACCGAGAUAAUGAAAGUAACUGCUUAAGUACAAAUUUUACUACGCAUGCGCAACUCGAGGGGCUUCCGGUGGUGAAGUCCCCUGCGCAUGCGCAGAAUAGUACUUCCUCAAUGGCGGCUAUAAUUUCGCGCCACUACAAUUUCAUAUGUUUUUGACUCCAUGUUGGGUAAAAAUAAGUAUUCAAGUAUUUGUCAAAUACAUUACAGACCAUCUCUGAUUCUAUAACCCUGUUGGCAGCCUAUCCCAGAUUCAUGUAUGAGCAGCUGUACAUUAUCUCAAAAGGUAGAGCUGCUGGAAAGAAAUGAAGGGCAUAUUCUUAUUCGAAGGAUUGAAUAUACCUAAAAUCAGAUCUAAAGCCUUAGGCACCAAAAAAUUUUUUUCAUUUGUUCCCCAGUGUAAUCUAAGGUUUUAAAAAAAUUAUUUUAAACUUUUAUUGUAUUAAAAAUUAAUUAUGAUACACUCUGUGGAUCACAUAAAGCACACAAUUUUAUUGCAUGUAGUACAUUCUAUGAUCAUAGAAUGUAUUACAUCUAAACCAAAUUAACAUGCAAUAACUAAAAUGUGCAUCCUUGAAAGCAAGGGUGCACAUUUACAAAAAAGACUUAUGAAAAAUGCUUUGGACUGGUGAAGGAUUAAAAAUAAUCAGUGGGUGGCAAGAAUGUUUUCUUUAUAUACCUAAGUUUUCCAUUGCAGAGAUGCACCGAACCAUAUAUUAAGUACUCUACUAAAUACUGCCAGUAUUUUUUUUUCUGCUAAGGAAUUUGUGGUGGGUGCUAAAAAUGUUACUUGGGCUUCUCAGAUGACUGAAGAUCAAUAUGUAAAUAAUUGGUAAUAAUCUCCAAACAAUAAUCAAUCAUUGUUUAUAUUUUUUUGAUAUAGUGGCUGAUCAAUGUUCAAGUUGUUGUUAACAUGUUUUCUUAUGAUAAAACUUGGGAUCUUAAAGGACUGUUGUUCUACAUAACACACCCAUUGAUCAGAGAUGUCUACAUGGUAAACCCUAAAUUGUCAUCUUCAUCAAUUAGAAACUGAUAGAUCCACAUACCAUUUUUUAAUAUCUUUUUUUGUAUUAUUGAUGUAAUGAUUGAGAGUGUUAUGAAGCUGAACAAUAUACUUAAAACAGGUAUCUUGUACUUUGUGGUUUGAAACAAAUUUUUCCAAAUAAAUACUUGAUUCAUGUCAUUUAUUAUUAUUUUUUAUUUUUGUUUUAUGUACCUGUACUAAAAAUAUGGGGCAUUGCACAUGUGCAAAAAAUAUUUCAAAUUUCAACACAAAUAUCUUCUUCAUGCAGCUAACUGAGAAUAAACAGCCUAGCAGGUACUUGGUUAAGUACCUGCUAGGCUGUUUAUUCCCAGUUUGUCCUUUUUUGUUUUUCCUGCUAAGAGCAAGUACAAAUAAACAUUUCUUUUUGUAGUAUUCCAAUUCACAUCAGUUUAUGUGGACCCAUGUUAGUUUCAUCAAUUUGAACAUUUUUAGUCUCUCCCAUUUAGAAACUCUUAUGUGCUAGGCUGUGUUGAUCAACAAAAAGUGUACAUAUGGCAUACUUAAAUGAUACUUCAGAAACAAAAAAUAAUAAUACAGUCUUAAUUGAUUGGAUCCAGUUGCAUUUGAUGCAUUUCCAUCAAAAUAUUUUACACCUUGGAUGUAUUUAUUGAAGGUAGCAGUUUUCUUGACUGCUUAUGUAUUUGUUCUCAUUAUUCAUAUCAGACAAUGACAGGCCGUCCACUUGGCAAAUUCCUGUUGAUUGACAGUUUCAUAUUCUCAUAAAUUAUAUUCAAUUUUAUUUAUUUUGGUCUAUCUGUUAAUUUUUAUUUGUAUUGUUCUCUACUUGAGUUGAAAUUUGAUUUUGAAAAAAUACAGGUUGAUUACAGUUGGAACAUUUUUGAUCAUUCUUUUUCUCAGUCAUGGUUGACUUGGGUUAAAUAUAUUGGUUCUGUUUGUGUUGAAAUUUGCAUAUUUUUUAGUAUGUUCACAAAAUAAAUUGGACUGUCAAAUAUUUGUUUUGGAAAAUGUUUUUGUUUCAAACUGUAAAGUACAAGAUACCCUUUCCAACAUGUUCAUUUGGAAACUUCAGUGAUUGCACAGAAAAAAAAAUUCAUACAGGCCUAACUUAUUCAAGCAAAACUUAUUUUUGGAAAAUCAGCUUCCUCUCUCAUUCAAUUUUUUAUGUUAUUAGAUACCUCGAAGAUACAAAUGUGCAUGAUAUCCCAAGUGUACAAUAAUGAUGUGUAUAUAUGUAUUUAUUAAUUACUACUGUCAUAGUUUGUCUUUUGUAGUGAUGUACUUUGGAUAGUAUCCAACUUAAACCCUCAAGUUCUAUACAACUCUUUGCUGAUUACUUUUCAUAGCAUAUUUUGCAAGUUUUCACAAUACUACUUUGUCACAUUUUUGCAAGACCUGCUUUUCAAAACUCUAUUUUCCAUUGUUAAGGUCAGACAUUAAUUGACACUGUGCUCUAGGAGAUUCUUGUGCUAGUAAAAAAAUGGGAGCAUUACCCUUUCACACCUGGGUCUCUAUCAUACAUACCUACAUCAAGGGCAAGACCCCUGACUACUUGAGAGGGAACGUUUAUGUGGUUUCCCAACUUGACUAUCAGCCUGAUCUCCCUCAGGUCUCAACAUCUUGAAAAGAAAGAACAUUGGAUAAUUUGGAAUAUAUGAACUGUGUGUUAUCUAUAUAUCUAGUGAAGCAUGUCUUCCUUGCAAUGAGCACACUCAACACUGCUAAGUUAGAUGUCACUCUUGAUAGACUUUCUAACAAUAUAUUGACCACCUGGAAGGAACCUCAUGAGCUAACGAAAGUACUUCUAAGCUUGACUUGUUUAUGUAACAACUGGAUUUAAAUCUUAUGUCUCCCAACUGUCUUCUGAGCUGUAACCUUGUUGCACAACUGGGAAUACCAACAAUUUGGUUGAGAUGACCAUAGUUGAAACAUCAACCAAAUGAUGAAAUUCAGCAUAGGCUAUCAUACUAGAUACUCUAUUUUCCCUCAGUCUGUGUUGCAACUAGCAAAAACAGAUUCACAUUCGAUGCAGUCUACCAAAAAAUACUGGCUGUUACCAUGAAAAGCCAGCUUUGCCAAGGAUAUGGAGUCCAUGUUGGUUAUCAACACAAAGGAAUAUAACCCAAGAAAUCACAGGUGAACUUAACUGCAUAUCAGAAACAUUGGCCCUGACUCUUCUGUGGACUCAACUUUACACGAAGGUUACAGUCCACUUUAUAUUGUGACCAUAUACAAAAUACAAAGAAAUUGAAUUCAAUGUCUAUCAUCAUAAUGAAUUUAAGUAAGCUCACAACUUCUUUUUCCAGUUCUAUAUAAACAAACCGAUGGCUUGAACUUGGAAUCUUCAACCUUCAUAGUUGUACACCAUCACAUUCCGGUUCAUUCUUCAAUAUUAAGCAUUGGACCAAGAAGAGAUAUUUUCUUUUCAGUAGAAAUAUGGGAUCCUUAAACUUGUGCUGCCACCUGAAUAUAAACUAUCAUCAUCACCCAAACUAUGAUAGUUAAUCUAUCCAUGAAUAUAUGAACUGUUGUGUUUGUAUAAGAUUGUUCACUGAAGCUAUGACCAUGUAUACAAUUACAAACUUUAUAGAAAUCCCUUUUAUCUAGCAGCAUCAUUUAUGUCCCCUUAAAGUGAUCUUUUUUUUUUAUGUCACUUUGGUUCCAGAGUCAAUAAAAGAAAAAAACCCCAAAUGAUAUGAAAUACCUUUUGUUCAGAAGCUAUUUGUCUUAGAACCACUGCUGACAGUUGUACAACAACAGAAGAAAACUGCUUCCAGCAUUUGUAUAAUUAUAGUAUCAGUAAUAUUUAUUCAGAAGAUAGAAACUACUAUCAACAGUUUUACAACUACCAGAAUCUCAAUUUGCAAAACAAGUGAAAAAAUCAGUUAACAAAAAUGACAAUAUAAAUAACAUCUUUUUCCUUCUUGUAAUUUUAUUUAUGCAUGUGUACCAUUAUAUUAUUUUUAUACCAAUUAUUACAUAGUGGUAAAGUCAUUUCACCAGAUGCUGAGCCUACUGACAAAUGAUAAACAGCUGCAACAAGUGGUCACAUUCUAUACAACAGACUUCAUCCAAGCUAUGCAAGCAUGGAAAAAUAUACAUUAUUAUCACUAUAAUGUUGACUGAAGAAAGUAUUAUAAUAUAUUACUAGGAAGUUGUUUCUUGGCAUAAGACUUCUACAGAUAUCUCUCAGAAUACUGCAACAUCUGCCACAUUUGUGUCUAACAUGAAUUGUAAUAUUUAGAUCAAGGAUUGGCAACUGUAUUUUUACAUCUGCAAGGGAGAUUGUGUACCAUCAAGUGAACAGUGGACCAGAUAAAUACUAACAACAAUUUGAAAUAUGGAAAUUAUCCAUUGAAAUAUAUCUAAUUGUAUUUUUCAUCAGAUUAGUUCAUGACACACGCUAGGGAAUCAUGUUUGGUGGUGAAAAAGAAAAUUAUAUAGUUGUAAUGUAAACAGUAGACAGCUGUGAAAUUUGAUGGUGUUUGUUACUUGAAAGUUUUUUUUAAUAUUAGGUGCCAGGCUUGUCAAUGCCUACAGCAAGACAUCCAAGUAGGUAUUAGUCAGUUUGGUUCUCAAAUGGUUUCUGACGUGUUCCCAUUUUUGAAAAUAUAUGCUCAACACAGGUAAGUGUUGCCAAAUAAUGAUUUUUUUUUUUUGUAUGAGUAACUAACUUAGGAUACUUGCCACUUGAAUCUUGGAUGGAUAGAAUUUCUAUAGAAAGACAAAUGCCAAUACAUCUUCAGUAUGAAAUUUAAAUCUCAGAUGUCAUCAUAUUGCCUCUUAAUCAAUUCAAUUUGAUAAUUUUCUGAUACUGUGUCCAAUAUCAGAUGGUGUAGCAGACAUUGAGUGAAAAUUCAGCUAACAAGAAAAAUAUUCUUUCCUUAAUUCUUGGACCAUAUUCAUAAAAAUGCUUGGAUCUUGUACUUUACUUUUUUUUUUUAAAUUGGGGAAAUAUUUCAAUUUGUCUAUUAAAUACAACAAUUUAACCAAACAUCUUAAAAGGCAGGGUUUUUUAAAAAUUCCUUCAUAAAGUUAUUAAAAUUAUCCACAAUAAGUGUCACAAUAAUAUGAAACAUCUUUGCUCUCAAGAAAUAUUACCAUUUCUUCAUUCAAUGAAAAUUCUUUUCCCAUCAAUGACUAUCAGCUUAGCCAAUGUACAUUGAAGAGAAGUAAGCCAGGUCUCCAUAUUCUGCCUCUAUGUCCAACAUAAUGUGUUGAAACAGGUAAUGAUUUAACCAAAAGAUAAAGUUUUGUCAACAAUGUCCACAUAUUGUAACACGUGAUUCUUCUAAUUUCUUGUUAUUGCAAGAAGUCAUAUGACAUACUUGUCAAUGUGAAAACUGUUCUCUUAGCAUGUCUUUUAAUUGCCAAAUCUGAAGGGGGUUUACUACAAGGCAAAAAGUGAAAGGAGUGAUUAGUCAUAAAUAUCCCUUACUAAGCAUAAAAAGGUUGGUAGUCCAGAAUCCAUGCUGCGUUUGUUUCUUAGUCGGGGUCACCAUUUUAUAGGUUGGUGGGUUAUUAGUUAUAGGUUGGUAGUCCAGAAUCCAUGGCCGCGUUUUUUCUUAGUCGGGGUCACCACUUUAUAGGUUGGUAGUCCAGAAUCCAUGGCUGCGUUUUUUCUUAGUCGGGGUCACCACUUUAUAGGAAAGUGUUAAAUAGCUCAGCGGGCUGCGUGUUUGAAUCACGUCGGAGGGUCACCACUUUAUAGAAAGUGGGUUAUACAUCAUUAGAUGUACACCUGACUUUCCUAUAUUAAAUUAAGAAUUAACGGCAACGCAGAUUAUCAACACAAACAAUAUUUAUUCAUGGUGGAAAAUAUACAUCUUUAAUCUUGUUUGUUGAGACGUCUUCGGUGUGUGAGAACAUGGUUGUUGGGACGUUGGUAUAUUGAUGUGAGCUGUCUAGCGUGAGUUCGAAAGAUGGAGAGACAGCUAGACACGUCCUUGCUCAAUCGCUGGCCAGCAAGAAAGAGACAGAAUGAAGCAAGAAAGCUUGGAUGUUGAAUUCCACGCAUGCGCACGGCGUUAUUAUAAUCUUGUUUGAGCAGAUAUUUGACAUGGAUUUCUUGUUAAAAAACAUUGUAACUGUUUCUAAUUAUAAAUUUGAACAAUACCAUCUGAAAACACUUAUAGUCUUACUUAAUGCAUAUUAAUAAGGUGGUCUUAAUGGGCUUCAUAUAAACCAGUGUUUGGUUUGGAACAUUGAUAUUAUACAUUUGUCAUGUCAUAUACUAUCAUUUCUUACCAUAAGUUUAUUUGAAUUUUUUGUUUUUUAGAAAUUACAAUCUACUUUUUUUUUUUUUUUUGGGGAAAACAAAAAGGAAUCUUUCAUCAAAAAUAAAAUGCUUAACCAAAAACAUUCAAGUUAUAUAUGUUCUUUUACUGACAUGCAAACUUAUCAUUUCAUCUGACAAUCUAUAUCAGCCUCUUUGCUCACAAUGUGUCCGCCAUCACUAACAUCCCCAAGCCAUCAGAUUAUUAACAUUAAUCUCUCCUGUUAAAGCAGUGUAACCAUUAGCUUGUACUCUGUUUUCAGGUUUCUCACAGCAUAAAAUACAUCAGCUGUCUUGACAGUACAGCCUAACACUUUGUUAUUGAACAGAAUAACUUUCUGUGGCUAUUUCAUCAGUUGGAGUUGUGUGUGUCAUAUAUCAAAAUAGAGAUAUAUUUAAGAUCAGGUAUCAUUAGAACCUUUGUCAAUAAGAUCAGGUAUCAUUAGAACAUUUGUCAAUUAGUGAUGCUAUACUGAUGCAAGAACAUUGAAAAUAUUUCUGGACAAGGCAGAUGUACUAUACUAUAUUCAGAACAGCUAAUUCUACAUAGAUAACAUUUUCCCUUGCAAUUUUCCCUUCAUAUUCUGAGUUACAAUUCUUAUCUAUAACUUGAAGAAUUAAAAUGAAUGGCAAUAAUUAAGAUAGAACAGAAACAAGAUAGAAUAAAACCUUGUUCACAUGUCUGACCCAUACUAGAUCAGUUGUAAAAUGGACAUAAUUUGGGAAAUCAUUCUGCAGUACCCAAGAUGUUUUGUGCUUCUUUAAGUCCAUUGUGUCAGCUCUCACCUAUUUUUAAUUCUUUUUUAACACAUUAUUGUCCAAUACAAAUGGUCAAUCAAUUUUAUUAAAGCAACUGUGUAACUCCAGGAAGUUAUUUUAGAACUGUGAUCAGUUGCUACUAAUUCUUCAGUUUAUUUUGCUAGGGCUUUUUUGCUGUGUCAGUGAUUCCAUCUUUUUUUUUAAAGUAAUUCAGUGAUCACUGGUAGAGAAUGAAAAAGGUGUGUCAUGUAUCCUUAAAUCGUUUUGGGUGACUUCCUUAAUGAGGCCAGAGUAAUUCUUGUGGGUAAUUAACCUAAUUUUCAUUUGGAAAUUGCUAAAUUCCCUGGUCAGUAGGUUCUAUUUAUUGGGAAUUUUAAUGCUUGUGUAAUGCAUUAUUUUUGUUCAAAUAACACAUGAGAAAGUAACUAAAUUGUCAAGGCUGAUUUUUCAAACUUGAGUUCAUGGAGAAAACAGUAACUUUAGUGGUUAUCAAAAUGCUCAGACAUAAUCUUAUGCACUUUCUUCCUGUUCAAAUAAAAUUACUGAUUUUAAAAUAUAUCUAUGUAUUUUAUUCUACAAUUAGAAAAUUAUGCAUGCACCUCAACACAUUUUCUGAAGCUCUUAUAGUCUAUGUUUCUUUCACUCAAUCUAUGUAUUUGUUGGUGAUAAGUUAAACUACCAUUCUCAGAGAAUUCUUUACUGCAAAUAUCACAGUAGUAUGGUUUUUUGCAUGUGUGAAUACAUUUGUGGAAAGAUAAUUACAGAAUUUUAUUUAAUGUCACUACUGCCAUGGUGUACACAUUGUAUCACAGAUAUCACUCUUUGUCGUUAAUUGCAAGACAUGACAAAUUACCUAAAAAUUCUCAUAGAAUCUUUGCAGCAAAUACAUUUGAAUAUAUUAUUAGCAAAUUUCACAAAGGAGAAAAUUUGAACUUGUAAUUUAUGUUCAAUGAGGUAAAGAAUGUUUUGGAAGGCUUUUUUUUUUUUUUUUUUUUUUUUUUUUUUUUUUUUUCAGUUUAGAGGAAGCAUGGUAACAUGACCUAUUUAUAGGACUUCUGAGAUUGGCAGGGUGAAAUUGUUGAUAUCCGAAGACUGGAGAUUUGGUCAGAGUGUUACAAAUGUAUUCAGUCCUGAUGUUGAUAAGAUAAAUCACUAUUUUCAGACCAUGUUUUGGCAUGAUGUCAACUCUUAAAGUCUCUCUACUAUUAUUUCUUCAGUACAGAAGUAUUUCCUGUGUUCUGUAUUUUGUAAUUUCCACAACACCAGUGAAUAUGCAAUCUUGAGUUUAAUUGCCAUCACACUACAAUGUAUUAUUCCACAGUUAUUAAUGUUUCUGUCAUAUAAAAUGAUAUUUUAUGUGUUAUGAAGGAAGAUAAAAUAUGGUCAAUAUUUUCUACUCUAAUAACUGGCUUAUUUCAGAGAUAUAGAAAUUUUAUUCCAAAUUUUUGUCUUCUAAGAUGUCAAAUAAAUGGGUUACAGUUCUUGAAGUAUAUCCAGAUGUAAAAUAUAUGAUUCAGCUAUAACCUAUUCUUUUUUUUUUUCUUUCUUUUCUUUGAGAUACUACCACAUAUAACUUCAGUAACUAAAUGUCUCAUGCGUUGAAUGACUUUCAUUGUUAAUUUUUCAUGUUUAAACAUCUCACAAUCAUCCAGAAGUCUUUUUUUUUUCUGCCAUAUGGAAUUGUCUUUGUAAUUAAUUUGUAAUUAAUUUUAAAUCUUUAAAAUCAAUUUUAAUAAAGCCUUAUAAAUUA